rfam:Salmo salar isolate Sally breed double haploid chromosome ssa19, whole genome shotgun sequence.
UAUGCACUCUACUGUAAGCUGCUCUGGAUAAGAGCAUCUGCUAAAUGACUAAAA